UUAUUACUUGUUUGCCCUUUUCAAUUUUUCUCAUCUUCUUCGAUUGUCGGAGAAGUAACGUACACAAGAGAUGGGGCUGUGUCGUAAGAACGCAGCGUCUGUUUUGGUUUGGAAGCAGAAGGGGUGCGAAUGCUUUUUGAGCGGAGAUUUCAUCAAUGCUUUGAAAUUCUACACUCAGGCACCAUUUGCCCUUGUCGAGGAUGGCUAACCUUCAAACAAGAUAUCGUAGCUGCUGGCAUGAUGCAUUCUAUUCAAGAUAUCGUAGCUGUCCCUGCAGGCUUGCUUGAUGUUUGAGGACUGGAAAUCUCUUGCCUCUUCAUCCUGCUUCAGAAUGGUUGGUGGGUGUUUGCU